GAAUCCUUCUUUUGAGUUUGCUCUUCUGUGCUUGUGUUUUGUCUGCGUGGUUUGUGUCAGGCACCUUCACAGUUAACUGUUAAGCAUAGCAGAUUUCCCCUGGCAGGGGGGCUACAGUUGAUUUCUGCUGGACCUGGACUGGGGCGUCUUUACAGAUCUCCCCUUAGGAAGUAGCAGAUGAAGUAGCCCAGGGGGACUACAGUAAAUAUCUGCUGGACCUGGACUGGGGCAUCUUAAGUGAUCUUCCCUUAGGAGGCGGCAGACCUGCAGGACCUGGACUGGGGCAUCUUAAAUGAUCUUCCCUUAGAAGGCGGCAGGUGGAUUAGUCCCGGCUGGCGGCCCAGACGUGGGAGCCAGAGUGUAUAUACUGCGUAGUUCUGAGCUUUGCUUGGGAGCGUGAAGUUGAAGGUGCCAGCUUCUGUCUUGGUUGUGUGUGUGAAGUAGUUGUCCCUCCCCUAUCUGCAUGCUAUAUAAAAAUGGUGCUAUAUUGUGACAUCCAAUUGCCGGAAGAGGAACAAUGCUGCCCGCUCAUGUCCUUUUUUCUGUGGACUAUAUGAUAUGGAAACUUCGAAAGAUGCGAAUGUCAUCCAUGAAAAGGAGGCGGCGAUAUUGGGUGCAUCCCAUUACAUCAUGCCGAAUGACACGAGGUGUUUAUUUGACCCUUUAUCAAGAACUCCGAAAACACCCUGUCAAAUUUGCAGAAUAUCUCUGUGUAAGUGUCGCAAGCUUUGAUGACCUUUCCCAACGUUUACGUCGCCGAUUGAGACGGAAGGAUACGAAAUUUCGUCGAAGUGUAACUCCAGAAGAACGACUCAUGUCACUCUGCGGUUUCUGGCUAGUGGUGAAAGUUUUUCCAGUCUUCAUUUUCAAUUUCGACUAGGGAAAUCUACAAUAUCUUACAUUGUUAAAGAUACCUGCCGGGCAAUUUGGAAUCUUCUGCGUGAAGAAUUUCUUCCCCAUCCUACUUGCCAACAGUGGAUCAGCAUAGCCGACAAGUUUUAUGAGGUGACACAGUUUCCCAAUUGUAUUGGUGCAGUGGAUGGGAAGCAUGUGAGGCUCUUGAAGCCCCCACGUAGUGGAUCCUCAUUUUUUAACUAUAAAAAGUAUUUUUCUGUGAUCCUAAUGCCAAUUGUUGAUGCAAAUUACAAAUUUGUGGCUGUUGAUAUUGGAGCUUUUGGACGAACAAAUGACUCACGUGUUUUUAAAAAUUCUAAUAUGGGAAAAAGGCUGUACUCUGGAAACUUUGGUAUACCAGAGCCCAGGCCUUUACCAGGUACUACAAACCCUGCACUUCCAUUUGUUCUAGUCGGAGAUGAAGCUUUCCAAAUGUGUGGAAAUUUACUGAAGCCAUAUGCCAGCCGUGGUCUAGACUAUCGCAAAAGAGUGUUCAAUUACAGACUGACUCGAGCAAGAAGAAGGUCGAGUGUGCUUUUGGCAUAUUGACUGCAAAAUGGCGAAUAUUCACUCGUCCAAUACAAUUGAAAACAGAUACUGUGGAUGAUGUCAUAAAAGCAUGCGUUGUGUUGCACAAUUAUGUACUGACCAAAGAGCCUUUGUCUACGGAGCCACUGUCAUUAAAUCCACCAGGAGAUAACAUAGAAACUGGCCCAAGAUCAACAGUUGCUGUGAGUCGCAUGCGCGAUCAAUUUGCAGAAUAUUUCAUUUCUUCAGCUGGAUCUGUGCAUUGGCAGGAUGAACAUAUUUGAACAAAUAUUCUCUAUUGUUUGUUACUGUUUGUUUAUUAAAUAUGUA